AGACAAGACAGUGUUCCAGCCUGAUCACAACUGCAUUCUGCAUCUUUUCCAUUACGCAUUCCUCUACACUUCCAUUGUCCCUCUCCAUUGUCACUUUUUCUAAUCUUUUACCAAAUCAUAAGAUCAACUGCAUCAUAUUUCAGGAGCAUGAGAGGAAAAUAUAGUUUAUCCACUCCAGACUGAGAUCAGAACUAGCAAAAGCAUAGCGCUUGAUCAGAACAGCCAGAUGGCACCCCAGUUGGACUCAAACUAUUGUUACAGCCUAUGCAAGAGGCCAAAGCACCUAUCCAUUCAUGGUCAUCUAUUCAUCUUAUGUCACGGUGUAAAGACAAAAGUGGACCAACCUCUUGGGUCAUGAAGUCUAGUUCCCUGCUACCAUUGAGAAUCGCUGUGUACAUUCCCACUCCUCAGGUGCAAAAGCUUCCUGGAUCCUCUGUUUUUUCCACUUAUUUCUGUGAAGGAUGCCUGUGAUUGAUUCGGGGAAACUAGCUAUUUUGAGGUGAAUAAAAAAUUUGAAGGAAUUAAUAUUUUAAGGAAGAGGACCCACAAGCCUAAAAGCAGCUUAUAGAUAUUUUGGUUUUUUACUUUUCAUAAAAACCAACAGCAGUACCAGCAACAAAAUUACAAGAUUAUAUUCAAGCAAGACAAGAAUACCAGCAAUAGUCAUGCUUUCUCAUGUAUAAACAUGCCAUUCCAUUCUCUGCGUAGACCAAAACCAGCAUCUAAAUCCCAGAGUAGCAAUGAUGUGUUACUGUUCCCAUGUGCAACUUUUAUGACUGCAGCUUUAAGUAUUUUUUUUAUCAGAGCAUUUAUUCAACUUUUUGUUUCCAUUUACCUUUGUGAAAAGUAGCUGGUUAGGAAUUAUAUUAAAUUUGACAAAAACAGAGGAAAGAAAAAGAAGUGGGUAAGAUGUUCACUAAGUUUCUCUGACAUAAGUGCUAGUCCAUCUUUUUAAGGUAUCUUUCAUCUGCCGAUGUUGUCCUGUACUCCGAAGUGGUUUGAGUGAUUGGGCACUCUGAUCUGAACAUCUCUGGCUUUCGAAUUCAAUGCUCACAAAGAAUAUCAUAGUCAGGAUCUUGUCACCUCCACAGUUGUGUCAGUACCAUGCUUGGAGGUGAAGUGAAAUGAUACAAAAUAAAAAUACCUUUUUUUUCUUUC
ensembl:lncRNA